UACGGAGGGUGCGAGCGUUGCUCGGAAUCACUGGGCGUAAAGGGCGCGUAGGCGGGAUGGCAAGUCAGUCGUGAAAUCUCUCGGCUUAACCGGGAGCGGUCGUUGGAAACUGAAGGGCUUGAGGCGAUGAGAGGGGUGUGGAAUUCCCGGUGUAGUGGUGGAAUGCGUAGAUAUCGGGAGGAACAUCAGUGGCGAAAGCGGCACCCUGGCAUUAGCCUGACGCUCAUGUGCGAAAGCGUGGGGAGCGAACGGGG
rnacentral:rRNA from 1 species